GACGUAGGGGGCCAGCGUUGUUCGGAAUUACUGGGUGUAAAGGGUGCGUAGGCGGCGCGGUAAGUCGGGUGUGAAAUCUCGGGGCUUAACUCCGAAACUGCAUUCGAUACUGCCGUGCUUGAGGACUGGAGAGGAGACUGGAAUUUACGGUGUAGCGGUGAAAUGCGUAGAUAUCGUAAGGAAGACCAGUGGCGAAGGCGGGUCUCUGGACAGUUCCUGACGCUGAGGAGCGAAAGCGUGGGGAGCGAACAGG
rnacentral:rRNA from 1 species